rfam:Myotis davidii contig322737, whole genome shotgun sequence.
UUCCUUUUAUCGUCAACCCGGAGCCCCACGGCAGCUAAUGCAAGAGGCCAAAAAUGUUUUGGAGGAAGAAAAACAAAGGCAGGAAGUGGCGGCGGACUGACGGUGCGUGUGUGCGGAGAAGGGAGGGAGCCGUUUCAAUCUCUUGUUUUCCCAAACUUCUCUUCUUGUUGUUUUUCCAAACUUCAAGGUCUAGGCAG